UGGGGAAUAUUGCACAAUGGGCGCAAGCCUGAUGCAGCCAUGCCGCGUGUGUGAAGAAGGCCUUCGGGUUGUAAAGCACUUUCAGCGAGGAGGAAGGUGGUGAACUUAAUACGUUCAUCAAUUGACGUUACUCGCAGAAGAAGCACCGGCUAACUCCGUGCCAGCAGCCGCGGUAAUACGGAGGGUGCAAGCGUUAAUCGGAAUUACUGGGCGUAAAGCGCACGCAGGCGGUUUGUUAAGUCAGAUGUGAAAUCCCCGGGCUCAACCUGGGAACUGCAUUUGAAACUGGCAAGCUAGAGUCUCGUAGAGGGGGGUAGAAUUCCAGGUGUAGCGGUGAAAUGCGUAGAGAUCUGGAGGAAUACCGGUGGCGAAGGCGGCCCCCUGGACGAAGACUGACGCUCAGGUGCGAAAGCGUGGGGAGCAAAACAGGAUUAGAUACCCUGGUAGUCCACGCUGUAAAACGAUGUCGAUUUUGGAGGUUGUGCCCUUGAGGCGUGGCUUCCGGAGCUAACGCGUUAAAUCGACCGCCUGGGGAGUACGGCCGCAAGGUUAAAACUUAAAUGAAUUGACGGGGUC
rnacentral:rRNA from 1 species